GGUGAACGCUGGCGGCGUGCUUAAGACAUGCAAGUCGAACGGCAGUCUUCGGACUGUAGCGGCGCACGGGUGAGUAACGCGUAACUGACCUACCCCAAAGUCGCGGAUAACGAUUCGAAAGAAUCGCUAAUACGUGAUGUGCUGUCAGAUUGUGUUCUGCCAGUAAAGAUUGAUUGCUUUGGGAUGGGGUUGCGUUCCAUCAGCUAGUUGGGGGGGUAAAGGCCCACCAAGGCGACGACGGAUAGCCGGCCUGAGAGGGUGGCCGGCCACAGGGGCACUGAGACACGGGUCCCACUCCUACGGGAGGCAGCAGUUAGGAAUCUUCCACAAUGGGCGAAAGCCUGAUGGAGCGACGCCGCGUGAGGGAUGAAGGUCUUCGGAUCGUAAACCUCUGAAUCAGGGACGAAAGACACUUCGGUGGGAUGACGGUACCUGAGUAAUAGCACCGGCUAACUCCGUGCCAGCCGCCGCAGUAAGAC
rnacentral:rRNA from 1 species